UUACGGUCAAAUCACGCUGAAAAACCGGUUCUCAUUCGAUCACCGAAGUUAAGCAUCGUAGAGCCAGGUCAGUACUUAGACGGGGGACCGCUUGGGAACACCUGGUACUGUAAG
rnacentral:rRNA from 1 species